rnacentral:rRNA from 1 species
UACGUAGGGGGGCAAGCGUUGUCCGGAAUCAUUGGGCGUAAAGCGCGCGUAGGCGGCCCGGUAAGUCCGCUCUGAAAGCCCGGGGCUCAACCCCGGGAGGCGGGUGGAUACUGUCUAGCUCGAGUCCGGAAGAGGAGUGUGGAAUUCCUGGUGUAGCGGUGAAAUGCGUAGAUAUCGGAAGGAACAUCAGUGGCGAAGGCGACUUCCUGGACCAAUACUGACGCUCAGGUGCGAAAGCGUGGGGAGCAAACAGG